rnacentral:rRNA from 1 species
CCUACGGGGGGCUGCAGUAGGGAAUAUUGGUAAUGGGCGAAAGCCUGAACCAGCAACGCCGCGUGUGCGAUGAAGGCCUUCGGGUUGUAAAGCACUUUUUGAGGGGAUGAGGAAGGACAGUACCCUCAGAAUAAGUCUCGGCUAACUACGUGCCAGCAGCCGCGGUAACACGUAGGAGACUAGCGUUAUCCGGAUUUACUGGGCGUAAAGCGCGUGCAGGUGGCUCGGAAAGUUCGAUGUGAAAGCUCCCGGCUUAACUGGGAGAGGUCGUUGAAUACUUUCGGGCUAGAGGAUGGGAGAGGGAGGCGGAAUUCCGGGUGUAGUGGUGAAAUGCGUAGAUAUCCGGAGGAACACCAGUGGCGAAAGCGGCCUCCUGGCCCAUUUCUGACACUCAGACGCGAAAGCUAGGGUAGCAAACGGGCUUAGAUACCCUGGUAGUC